UACGUAGGGGGCAAGCGUUGUCCGGAAUCAUUGGGCGUAAAGAGCGUGUAGGCGGCCCGAUAAGUCCGCUGUGAAAGUCCAGGGCUCAACCCUGGGAUGCCGGUGGAUACUGUCGGGCUCGAGUCCGGAAGAGGAGUGUGGAAUUCCCGGUGUAGUGGUGAUAUGCGUAGAUAUCGGGAGGAACACCAGUGGCGAAGGCGGCUUUCUGGGCCUUACCUGACGCUGAGACGCGAAAGCGUGGGGAGCGAACCGG
rnacentral:rRNA from 1 species